UUUUAACAAUAUUAUUUUCUAGACAGAGCAAAUGAGCUGAACACAUUCUUCAACAGGUUCAGUUCAGGAACAAGCUCAUCAUCAUCAUCAUCAUCAUCAUCAUCAUCAUCAUCAUCAUCAUCAUCAUCAUCAU